GUCCUGCAACUGAGCCCAACCCUUGUUCUUAUUUGCCAGCGUUCAGCUGGGCACAUAAGGGACUGCCGGUCCAAACCGGAGGAAGGUGGGGAGACGUCAAAUCAUCAUGCCCCUUAUGACCUGGGCUACACACGUGCUACAAUGGGCAGAACAAAGGGCAGCGAAGCCGCGAGGUUAAGCCAAUCCCACAAAUCUGUUCUCAGUUCGGAUCGCAGUCUGCAACUCGACUGCGUGAAGCUGGAAUCGCUAGUAAUUGCGGAUCAGCAUGCCGCGGUGAAUACGUUCCCGGGCCUUGUACACUCCGCCCGUCCCCCCCCUCCAUAUGGUAACAUCCGAAGUCGUUGAGUUUACCACGGUACCCCUCAAACGUAGAGUUUUUUCCGGAUCCGGU
rnacentral:rRNA from 1 species